GCGCGCUUAGCUCAGUGGUAGAGCAUUUCCUUCACACGGAAGGGGUCGUAGGUUCAAUCCCUACAGCGCGCACCA
rnacentral:tRNA from 1 species